AACGAACGCUGGCGGCAGGCUUAACACAUGCAAGUCGAACGAGAUCUUCGGAUCUAGUGGCAGACGGGUGAGGAACACGUAGGAACAUCCCUUUCAGUUCGGAAUAACGUUGGGAAACUAACGCUAAUACCGGAUACGUCCUUCGGGAGAAAGAUUUGUCGCUGAAAGAUUGGCCCGCGUCUGAUUAGCUAGUUGGUGAGGUAAUGGCUCACCAAGGCUACGAUCAGUAGCUGAUCUGAGAGGAUGAUCAGCCACAUUGGGACUGAGACACGGCCCAAACUCCUACGGGAGGCAGCAGUGGGGAAUAUUGGACAAUGGGCGCAAGCCUGAUCCAGCCAUGCCGCGUGAGUGAUGACGGCCUUCGGGUUGUAAAGCUCUUUUGUCCGGGAGGAUAAUGACUGUACCGGAAGAAUAAGCCCCGGCAAACUUCGUGCCAGCAGCCGCCGUAA
rnacentral:rRNA from 1 species